rnacentral:rRNA from 1 species
AGUGAACGCUGGCGGUAGGCCUAACACAUGCAAGUCGAACGGCAGCACAGUAAGAGCUUGCUCUUACGGGUGGCGAGUGGCGGACGGGUGAGGAAUACAUCGGAAUCUACUUUUUCGUGGGGGAUAACGUAGGGAAACUUACGCUAAUACCGCAUACGACCUACGGGUGAAAGCAGGGGAUCUUCGGACCUUGCGCGAUUGAAUGAGCCGAUGUCGGAUUAGCUAGUUGGCGGGGUAAAGGCCCACCAAGGCGACGAUCCGUAGCUGGUCUGAGAGGAUGAGCGGCAACAGUGGAACUGAGACACGGUCGAGACUCAUACGGGAGGCAGCAGUAGGGAAGAUUCCGCAAUGGGCGAAAGCCUGACGGAGCAACGCCGCGUGAGUGAAGAAGGUCUGCGGAUCGUAAAACUCUGUUAUGAGGGAAGAACAAAGGGGUAAGUAACUAUGCACGUCUGGACGGUACCUAAUCAGAAAGCCACGGCUAACUACGUG